CAGGUACAGCGGGAAGGCCACCUGGCGACAGGGCGGCGGAACCCGAAAACCUGUCUCAGUUCGGAUUGGAGUCUGCAACCCGACUCCAUGAAGCUGGAUUCGCUAGUAAUCGCGCAUCAGCCACGGCGCGGUGAAUACGUUCCCGGGCCUUGUACACACCGCCCGUCAAGCCAUGGAAGCCGGGAGUGCCUGAAGUGCGUGACCGCAAGGAGCGUCCUAAGGCAAUACCGGUGACUGGGGCUAAGUCGUAACAAGGUAUC
rnacentral:rRNA from 1 species